rnacentral:misc_RNA from 1 species
GAUGAAGAACGCAGCGAAAUGCGAUAAGUAGUGUGAAUUGCAGAAUUCAGUGAAUCAUCGAAUCUUUGAACGCACAUUGCGCCCCUUGGUAUUCCAUGGGGCAUGCCUGUUCGAGCGUCAUUUGUACCUUCAAGCUUUGCUUGGUGUUGGGUGUUUGUCUCGCCUUUGCGUGUAGACUCGCCUUAAAAUAAUUGGCAGCCGGCGUACUGAUUUCGGAGCGCAGUACAUCUCGCGCUUUGCACUCAUAACGACAGCGUCCAAAAGUACAUUUUACACUCUUGACCUCGGAUCAGGUAGGGAUACCCGCUGAACUUAAGCAUAUCAAUAAGCGGAGGA